GCGACCGUACCGAGAACCGACACUGGUGUCCCUGGGUGAGUAGCCUAAGGCGUGUCGGGGACAACCCGGCCGAGGGAAUUCGGCAAAUUGGCCCCGUAACUUCGGGAGAAGGGGUGCCAGCCGUGCAGACGGCUGGUCGCAGUGACUAGGGGGGUCCGACUGUUUAAUAGAAACGUAGGUCCCCGCUAGCCCGUAAGGGUGUGUACGGGGGCUGAGGCCUGCCCAGUGCCGGUCCGUGAAACCCCGGUUCAACGGGGUGAAGCGCCGGUAAACGGCGGGGGUAACUAUGACCCUCUUAAGGUAGCGUAAUCCCUUGCCGCUUAAUUGGCGGCCUGCAUGAAGGCUUAACGAGACCCCCACUGUCCCCGGCCGGGACCCGGUGAACCCGCUGCCUGGUGCAAAUGCCAGGGACCCCCGACGGGAAGCGAAGACCCCGUGAACCUUUACUGCAGCCUGCCGUUGGGGUACGGUCGAAGGUGUACAGCGUAGGCGGGAGCCGUCGAAGCGGCCUCGCUAGGGGCCGUGGAGGCGCCCAUGGGACACCGCCCUCCUUCGACUGUAUCCCUAACCCCUAAGGGGGGACAGCGGUAGGUGGGCAGUUUGGCUGGGGCGGCACGCCCCUGAAAAGAUAUCAGGGGCGCCCAAAGGUCGGCUCAGGCGGGUCAGAACUCCGCCGUAGAGUGCAAGGGCAAAAGCCGGCCUGACUGGACUCCGAAAAGCGAGGAGUCCAGGGGGGAAACCCGGGCCUAGCGAACCUCCGUGUCCCCCCCGGUGGGGGUCGGAGACGACAGAAAAGGUACUCCGGGGAUAACAGGGUGGUCGCGGGCAAGAGCCCAUAUCGACCCCGCGGCUUGCUACCUCGAUGUCGGCUCUCUCCAUCCUGGGCGUGCAGCAGCGCCCAAGGGUGGGGUUGUCCGCCCAUUAAAGGGGACCGUGAGCUGGGUUUAGACCGUCGCGAGACAGGUUGGAUGCUAUCGGUCGGGGUGUUGGCCGCCUGAGGGGAAGGUGCCCGCAGUACGAGAGGAUCGGCGCGCCGGGGCCUCUGGUCUACCGGUUGUCCGACAGGGCACAGCCGGGCAGCUAAGCCCCAUGCCGAUAAGGGCUGAAAGCAUCUAAGCCCGAAGCGGCCCCCGAAAAGAGGCGGCCAUUCCCUGGCGAGG
rnacentral:rRNA from 1 species